GCGCCGGUAGUCUAGUCUGGUAGGACACAGGCUUGCCAAGCCUGUAACCCGGGUUCAAAUCCCGGCCGGCGCA
rnacentral:tRNA from 1 species